GAUGAACGCUGGCGGCGUGCCUAAUACAUGCAAGUCGAGCGAACAGACAAGGAGCUUGCUCCUUUGACGUUAGCGGCGGACGGGUGAGUAACACGUGGGUAACCUACCUAUAAGACUGGGAUAACUUCGGGAAACCGGAGCUAAUACCGGAUAAUAUUUCGAACCGCAUGGUUCGAUAGUGAAAGAUGGUUUUGCUAUCACUUAUAGAUGGACCCGCGCCGUAUUAGCUAGUUGGUAAGGUAACGGCUUACCAAGGCGACGAUACGUAGCCGACCUGAGAGGGUGAUCGGCCACACUGGAACUGAGACACGGUCCAGACUCCUACGGGAGGCAGCAGUAGGGAAUCUUCCGCAAUGGGCGAAAGCCUGACGGAGCAACGCCGCGUGAGUGAUGAAGGUCUUCGGAUCGUAAAACUCUGUUAUUAGGGAAGAACAUACGUGUAAGUAACUAUGCACGUCUUGACGGUACCUAAUCAGAAAGCCACGGCUAACUACGUGCCAGCAGCCGCGGUAGUACGUAGGUGGCAAGCGUUAUCCGGAAUUAUUGGGCGUAAAGCGCGCGUAGGCGGUUUUUUAAGUCUGAUGUGAAAGCCCACGGCUCAACCGUGGAGGGUCAUUGGAAACUGGAAAACUUGAGUGCAGAAGAGGAAAGUGGAAUUCCAUGUGUAGCGGUGAAAUGCGCAGAGAUGUGGAGGAACACCAGUGGCGAAGGCGACUUUCUGGUCUGUAACUGACGCUGAUGUGCGAAAGCGUGGGGAUCAAACAGGAUUAGAUACCCUGGUAGUCCACGCCGUAAACGAUGAGUGCUAAGUGUUAGGGGGUUUCCGCCCCUUAGUGCUGCAGCUAACGCAUUAAGCACUCCGCCUGGGGAGUACGACCGCAAGGUUGAAACUCAAAGGAAUUGACGGGGACCCGCACAAGCGGUGGAGCAUGUGGUUUAAUUCGAAGCAACGCGAAGAACCUUACCAAAUCUUGACAUCCUUUGACUCUUCUAGAGAUAGAAGUUUCCCCUUCGGGGGACAAAGUGACAGGUGGUGCAUGGUUGUCGUCAGCUCGUGUCGUGAGAUGUUGGGUUAAGUCCCGCAACGAGCGCAACCCUUAAGCUUAGUUGCCAUCAUUAAGUUGGGCACUCUAAGUUGACUGCCGGUGACAAACCGGAGGAAGGUGGGGAUGACGUCAAAUCAUCAUGCCCCUUAUGAUUUGGGCUACACACGUGCUACAAUGGACAAUACAAAGGGCAGCGAAACCGCGAGGUCAAGCAAAUCCCAUAAAGUUGUUCUCAGUUCGGAUUGUAGUCUGCAACUCGACUACAUGAAGCUGGAAUCGCUAGUAAUCGUAGAUCAGCAUGCUACGGUGAAUACGUUCCCGGGUCU
rnacentral:rRNA from 1 species